UUACCAAGUCAAGGGGAUCGUAAGUUUGACAACUAACGGGCUAGGUGGAAGCUUGAUAAGUGAGCGGGUCAAACGAAUCAAGUGUGAAGUAAAAGCGUGUUCGGAUGCAAGGAGCGAUUAACGAUUCAGUUACUUGCGUCCAUAGAAUAUGUGAUAAUAGAAGCGAGGUAUGAAUCGGAUCGAUUGUUGACCCGAGCCAGGUGAACGUCAAGGGUGCACGGAUGAAGAUCAAGCGUCGAGCAAGAACCGA
rnacentral:lncRNA from 1 species